CAGUCGCCGCGGGAAUACGUAGGUGGCAAGCGUUGUCCGGAAUUAUUGGGCGUAAAGCGCGCGCAGGCGGAUAGGUCAGUCUGUCUUAAAAGUUCGGGGCUUAACCCCGUGAUGGGAUGGAAACUGCCAAUCUAGAGUAUCGGAGAGGAAAGUGGAAUUCCUAGUGUAGCGGUGAAAUGCGUAGAUAUUAGGAAGAACACCAGUGGCGAAGGCGACUUUCUGGACGAAAACUGACGCUGAGGCGCAAAAGCCAGGGGAGCGAACGGGAUUAGAUACCCCAGUAGUCCCUGUCUCUUAUACA
rnacentral:rRNA from 1 species